CUCUGUGACUCCUACGGGAGGCAGCAGUGGGGAAUAUUGCACAAUGGGCGCAAGCCUGAUGCAGCAACGCCGUGUGAGUGAAGAAGGUUUUCGGAUCGUAAAACUCUGUCCUAAGGGAAGAAACAAAUGACGGUACCUUAGGAGGAAGCCCCGGCUAACUACGUGCCAGCAGCCGCGGUAAUACGUAGGGGCAAGCGUUAUCCGGAAUCACUGGGCGUAAAGGGGUGCGUAGGCGGCUUAGCAAGCCAGGGGUGAAAGGCAUUGGCUCAACCAAUGUAAGCCUUUGGAACUGUUAAGCUUGAGUGCAGGAGAGGUAAGUGGAAUUCCUAGUGUAGAGGUGAAAUUCGUAGAUAUUAGGAGGAACACCAGUGGCGAAGGCGACUUACUGGACUGUAACUGACGCUGAUGCACGAAAGCGUGGGUAGCGAACAGGAUUAGAUACCCUGGUAG
rnacentral:rRNA from 1 species